rnacentral:lncRNA from 1 species
AUGGCUGUAGCUGGGAAAUCAGUGUACCUGAAUAAGUUCCUUGCCUGCUCUUGGGAAAAGACAAUUUCUCUUCUGGUUAUGUGUCAUCAUGCUUUAAUUGUGUCUGUUGUGGUUUACCUUUGUCUAGCUUUUGUGGUUUCCCAAACUCAUCUUACAGCUGUUGUUAAAUGGCACGAUUUCAGAAAAAUCAAUGAAGCUGGGCUAAUCUGCAUCCUUUCAGCUGAAUGGAAAUACACCAGUUCACACCAGCUGGGACACCAGGCUGCUCCAGCAGUGGCUUGUCCUUGGUUUUAGUCAUUUACGGGCUCUCCAGGAGCUGCCUUGCCAACUGACCAGAUAAUCAGAGUGGCAGGUGACAGCCCACUAGGGCUCCAGAUCUUUAUCUGCUGCCUGCUGUUCAGCAAAACUUGAUGAACCCGAGGUAAUUUAUU